CGGGCUCUUUCGGGGCUUUCGACGGCCGCAGAAUGACGUAAGUCGGAUUGCAUACAACAGCAGCAAAUAAGUAUCAAGUUCCGAUCUCUGAAAUCUGAAGUAAAUACAAAUGGAAGUUACAUACUUACUGUGCAGAAACAGAGGGAUGUCCUCACCAGAAGCGGUUCGUUUGGACGAUCCAAUUAAAUAACUGCAGAUAUACGUCACUUUGGCGUGUUUACAUGAAGAAGUAGGCGAAAAUGACAGUUGUUUUGGCUGCAAACUUUACAAAAAAAUUAAAUCAGCGCACAAGAACCAAGAGACGAUGAUGUGAUUCAGCAGCAGUUUCGCAGUUCGCCUCCGUGUGUUUCAAGGUGGUAUGAAGAAACUUUUCUUGAGGCUGAUAGUAAUUUCUGUCUACAGGUGAAGCUCAUCGAAGCAUAUUUUAUUUACAUUUAUUAUAUGAAACAGCAAAAGAAAGCGCAUAAAAAAAUUCCUUCGUGAUUAUGCUACUUUACUCGGCAAAUAAACAUCAGCUAGACA